rnacentral:rRNA from 1 species
AUGCAGGGGGGAAAUCUCUCGUGUUUGUUGUUGUCGACGUGCGUGUGCGAUUUGGUUCUGCAUAUGGAUUGGGUUUUGAGGGUUUUUCCGAUUCCUCGAUGCGUUACAGUUAGCAGUAACUGGAUUUGCUGCUGCAUUGGCUCCUCAAUCUGUUCCUCACAGCGUGGGGUCAGUUUACCUCAAAUUGUCUGCAUUUUGUCUCGCACACUUGCUAAGUUGCUAUGCAUCAGGAUCACACCAAAUGAGAUACUGCACUUGUCUGUCAAGAUACAACCAAUUGCAGCAGAGGUAGCACCACAGGAUAAACACCUUAUUUAUCUCUAG